rnacentral:tRNA from 4 species
GUUUCGUUGGUGCAGUGGUAGCAUGCCCUCUUAGGGUUGGAUUACAUAUAAUGUUCUCCGGCUUUGGGGGUGGUCCUCGGUUCAAUCCCGGGACGAGACC